GAUGAAGAACGUAGCGAAAUGCGAUAAGUAAUGUGAAUUGCAGAAUUCAGUGAAUCAUCGAAUCUUUGAACGCACCUUGCACCCUUUGGCAUUCCGAAGGGUAUGCUCGUUUGAGUGUCAUUGUACUCUCACACUCCCGAUCUUUGGAUUGGGAGCGGUGGACUUGGGUUUGCUGCUUGCCGUGGCUCACCUCAAAUGGACUAGUGCAACUCUUGGUUGACCAUAGUACGGCGUGAUAAGUGUCUUCGCCGGCACCUCACUGGGUGGGCCGAUCGGGAGCUCUGUGCUUCAAACCGUCUUCGGACAACAACUGACAACUUGACCUCAAAUCGAGUAGGACCACCCGCUGAACUUAAGCAUAUCAAUAAGCGGAGGA
rnacentral:misc_RNA from 1 species